rnacentral:rRNA from 1 species
UACGAAGGGGGCUAGCGUUGUUCGGAAUUACUGGGCGUAAAGCGUAUGUAGGCGGAUCGUUAAGUCGGGGGUGAAAUCCCGAGGCUCAACCUCGGAACUGCCUUCGAUACUGGCGAUCUUCGAGUCCGGGAGAGGUGAGUGGAACUCCGAGUGUAGAGGUGAAAUUCGUAGAUAUUCGGAAGUACACCAGUGGCGAAGGCGGCUCACUGGCCCGGUACUGACGCUGAAAUACGAAAGCGUGGGGAGCAAACAGG